rnacentral:rRNA from 1 species
CCUACGGGAGGCAGCAGUGGGGAAUAUUGGACAAUGGGGGGAACCCUGAUCCAGCGACGCCGCGUGAGUGAAGAAGUAUUUCGGUAUGUAAAGCUCUAUCAGCAGGGAAGAAAAUGACGGUACCUGACUAAGAAGCCCCGGCUAACUACGUGCCAGCAGCCGCGGUACUACGUAGGGGGCAAGCGUUAUCCGGAUUUACUGGGUUGAAAGGGAGCGUAGACGGUGCAGCAAGUCUGAUGUGAAAGGUCGGGGCCCAACCCCGGGACUGCAUUGGAAACUGUUGAACGGGAGUACAGGAGAGGUAAGCGGAAUUCCUAGUGUAGCGGUGAAAUGCGUAGAUAUUAGGAGGAACACCAGUGGCGAAGGCGGCUUACUGGACUGUAACUGACGUUGAGGCUCGAAAGCGUGGGGAGCAAACAGGAUUAGAUACCCCGGUAGUC